rnacentral:rRNA from 1 species
UGAGGGAUAUUGGUCAAUGGGCGCAAGCCUGAACCAGCGACCCCGCGUGGGUGAAGAAGGUCUUCGGAUCGUAAAGCCCUUUUCCCACUGAAGAGGAAGGACGGUAGGUGGGGAAGAAGUCUCGGCUAACUACGUGCCAGCAGCCGCGGUAAAACGUAGGAGACAAGCGUUAUCCGGAGUUACUGGGCGUAAAGGGCGUGCAGGUGGCGUCUUAAGUCUGUUGUGAAAGCGCCUGGCUUAACCGGGCGAGGCUAAUGGAGACUGAGAGGCUGGAGGACGGCGGAGGGGUGUGGAAUUCCGGGUGUAGUGGUGAAGUGCGUAGAGAUCCGGAGAAACACCAGAGGCGAAGGCGGCACUCUAAGCCGUACCUGACACUGAGACGCGACAGCACGGGGAGCAAACG